rnacentral:rRNA from 1 species
UACGUAUGGUGCAAGCGUUAUCCGGAUUUACUGGGUGUAAAGGGAGCGUAGACGGAUAGGCAAGUCUGGAGUGAAAACCCAGGGCUCAACCCUGGGACUGCUUUGGAAACUGCAGAUCUGGAGUGCCGGAGAGGUAAGCGGAAUUCCUAGUGUAGCGGUGAAAUGCGUAGAUAUUAGGAGGAACACCAGUGGCGAAGGCGGCUUACUGGACGGUGACUGACGUUGAGGCUCGAAAGCGUGGGGAGCAAACAGG